rnacentral:rRNA from 1 species
GACGAACGCUGGCGGCGUGCUUAACACAUGCAAGUCGAACGGAAAGGCCCUGCUUUUGUGGGGUGCUCGAGUGGCGAACGGGUGAGUAACACGUGAGUAACCUGCCCUUGACUUUGGGAUAACUUCAGGAAACUGUGGCUAAUACCGGAUAGGAGCUCCUGCUGCAUGGUGGGGGUUGGAAAGUUUCGGCGGUUGGGGAUGGACUCGCGGCUUAUCAGCUUGUUGGUGGGGUAGUGGCUUACCAAGGCUUUGACGGGUAGCCGGCCUGAGAGGGUGACCGGCCACAUUGGGACUGAGAUACGGCCCAGACUCCUACGGGAGGCAGCAGUGGGGAAGAUUGCACAAUGGGCGGAAGCCUGAUGCAGCAACGCCGCGUGCGGGAUGACGGCCUUCGGGUUGUAAACCGCUUUCGCCUGUGACGAAGCGUGAGUGACGGUAAUGGGUAAAGAAGCACCGGCUAACUACGUG